CUUCACCGAGCCCAGCCAGAGCGGCUGAUCCUCGGCCCGGUCCUGCCCGUACGUCGCCAGCAGAGCCUGCGCCUC
rfam:Actinoplanes sp. N902-109, complete genome.